rnacentral:rRNA from 1 species
CCUACGGGUGGCAGCAGUGAGGAAUAUUGGUCAAUGGGCGCGAGCCUGAACCAGCAACGUAGCGUGAAGGAUGAAUGCCCUACGGGUUGUAAACUUCUUUUAUAAAGGAAUAAAGUGAGGCACGUGUGCCUUUUUGUAUGUACUUUAUGAUUAAGGAUCGGCUAACUCCGUGAAAGCAGCAGCGGUAAUACGGAGGCGCCGAGCGUUAUCCGGAUUUAGUGGGUUUAAAGGGAGCGGAGAUGGGUUGUUAAGUCAGUUGUGAAAGUUUGCGGCUCAACCGUAAAAUUGCAAUUGAUACUGGCAGUCUUGAGUACAGUUGAGGUAGGCGGAAUUCGUGGUGUAGCGGUGAAAUGCGUAGAUAUCACGAAGAACUCCGAUUGCGAAGGCAGCUUACUAAACUGCCACUGACAUUGAUGCUCGAAAGUGUGGGUAUCAAACAGGAUUAGAUACCCCGGUAGUC